rnacentral:tRNA from 1 species
AAGAAAGUAUGCAAGAACUGCUAAUUCAUGCACCCAUAC